UACGGAGGGAGCUAGCGUUGUUCGGAAUUACUGGGCGUAAAGCGCGCGUAGGCGGCUUUGUAAGUUAGAGGUGAAAGCCCGGAGCUCAACUCCGGAACUGCCUUUAAAACUGCAUCGCUUGAAUCCAGGAGAGGUGAGUGGAAUUCCGAGUGUAGAGGUGAAAUUCGUAGAUAUUCGGAAGAACACCAGUGGCGAAGGCGACUCACUGGACACAUAUUGACGCUGAGGUGCGAAAGCGUGGGGAGCAAACAGG
rnacentral:rRNA from 1 species